UACGUAGGGCGCAAGCGUUAUCCGGAAUUAUUGGGCGUAAAGCGCUCGCAGGCGGUUUCUUAAGUCUGAUGUGAAAGCCCACGGCUCAACCGUGGAGGGUCAUUGGAAACUGGGAGACUUGAGUGCAGAAGAGGAGAGUGGAAUUCCACGUGUAGCGGUGAAAUGCGUAGAGAUGUGGAGGAACACCAGUGGCGAAGGCGACUCUCUGGUCUGUAACUGACGCUGAGGAGCGAAAGCGUGGGGAGCAAACAGG
rnacentral:rRNA from 1 species